ACGGGAGGCAGCAGUAGGGAAUCUUCCACAAUGGACGCAAGUCUGAUGGAGCAACGCCGCGUGAGUGAAGAAGGUUUUCGGAUCGUAAAGCUCUGUUGUUGGUGAAGAAGGAUAGAGGUAGUAACUGGCCUUUAUUUGACGGUAAUCAACCAGAAAGUCACGGCUAACUACGUGCCAGCAGCCGCGGUAAUACGUAGGUGGCAAGCGUUGUCCGGAUUUAUUGGGCGUAAAGCGAGCGCAGGCGGAAGAAUAAGUCUGAUGUGAAAGCCCUCGGCUUAACCGAGGAACUGCAUCGGAAACUGUUUUUCUUGAGUGCAGAAGAGGAGAGUGGAACUCCAUGUGUAGCGGUGGAAUGCGUAGAUAUAUGGAAGAACACCAGUGGCGAAGGCGGCUCUCUGGUCUGCAACUGACGCUGAGGCUCGAAAGCAUGGGUAGCGAACAGGAUUAGAUACCCUGGUA
rnacentral:rRNA from 2 species